UUGACCUCGAAUCAGGUAGGAAUACCCGCUGAACUUAAGCAUAUCAAUAAGCGGAGGAAAAGAAACCAACCGGGAUUACCUCAGUAACGGCGAGUGAAGCGGUAACAGCUCAAAUUUGAAAUCUGGCUCUUGCGGAGUCCGAGUUGUAAUUUGUAGAAGAUGCUUUGGGUUGUGGGUUCGGCCUAAGUUCCUUGGAACAGGACGUCAUAGAGGGUGAGAAUCCCGUAUGUGGCCGAGGCCCGCGCCUAUGUAAAGCUCUUUCAACGAGUCGAGUUGUUUGGGAAUGCAGCUCAAAAUGGGUGGUAAAUUUCAUCUAAAGCUAAAUAUGGGCCAGAGACCGAUAGCGCACAAGUAGAGUGAUCGAAAGAUGAAAAGCACUUUGGAAAGAGAGUUAAACAGUACGUGAAAUUGUUGAAAGGGAAGCGCUUGCAACCAGACUUGGGCGCUGCCGAUCACCUUGAGUUUUCUCGAGUGCACUCGACAGCGCACAGGCCAGCAUCGGUUCGGGUGGCUGGAUAAAGGCCGUAGGAAUGUGGCUCUCUUCGGGGAGUGUUAUAGCCUACGGUGCCAUGCAGCCCAGCCGGACCGAGGACCGCGCCUUCGGGCUAGGAUGCUGGCGUAAUGGUUGUAAGCGACCCGUCUUGAAACACGGACCAAGGAGUCUAACAUCUAUGCGAGUGUUUGGGUGGUAAACCCAUACGCGGAAUGAAAGUGAACGUAGGUGAGAACCCCUUUGGGGCGCAUCAUCGACCGAUCCUGAUGUCUUCGGAUGGAUUUGAGUAAGAGCAUAGCUGUUGGGACCCGAAAGAUGGUGAACUAUGCCUGAAUAGGGUGAAGCCAGAGGAAACUCUGGUGGAGGCUCGCAGCGGUUCUGACGUGCAAAUCGAUCGUCAAAUUUGGGCAUAGGGGCGAAA
rnacentral:rRNA from 1 species